AUUGAACGCUGGCGGCAUGCCUAACACAUGCAAGUCGAACGGCAGCACGUUAAGUACUUGUACUUAUGGGUGGCGAGUGGCGAACGGGUGAGUAAUGCGCAGGAAUAUACCUUGAAGAGGGGGAUAACUUGGGGAAACUCAAGCUAAUACCGCAUAUGCUCUGAGGAGCGAAGCUGGGGACCUUAUGGCCUGGCGCUUUGAGAAUAGCCUGCGUCCGAUUAGCUAGUUGGUGGGGUAAAGGCCUACCAAGGCGACGAUAGGUAGCUGGUCUGAGAGGAUGGACAGCCACACUGGGACUGAGACACGGCCCAGACUCCUACGGGAGGCAGCAGUGGGGAAUAUUGGACAAUGGGGGCAACCCUGAUCCAGCAAUGCCGCGUGUGUGAAGAAGACCUGAGGGUUGUAAAGCACUUUCAGUGGGGAGGAGGGUUAGUAUGUUAAGAGCUAACUAAUUGGACGUUACCCACAGAAGAAGCACCGGCUAACUCCGUGCCAGCCGCCGCCGUAA
rnacentral:rRNA from 1 species